GACGAACGCUGGCGGCGUGCUUAACACAUGCAAGUCGAACGGAAAGGCCCUGCUUGCCGGGUGCUCGAGUGGCGAACGGGUGAGUAACACGUGGGUGAUCUGCCCCUUACUUUGGGAUAAGCCUGGGAAACUGGGUCUAAUACUGGAUAGGACCAUGCUGUAGGUGGUGUGGUGGAAAGAUUAGUUUCGGUAAGGGAUGAGCUCGCGGCCUAUCAGCUUGUUGGUGGGGUAAUGGCCUACCAAGGCGUCGACGGGUAGCCGGCCUGAGAGGGUGGACGGCCACAUUGGGACUGAGAUACGGCCCAGACUCCUACGGGAGGCAGCAGUGGGGAAUAUUGCACAAUGGGCGCAAGCCUGAUGCAGCGACGCCGCGGGGGGGGUGACGGCCUUCGGGUUGUAAACUCCUUUCAGCCAUGACGAAGCCCUUGUGGUGACGGUAGUGGUAGAAGAAGCACCGGCUAACUACGUG
rnacentral:rRNA from 1 species